rnacentral:rRNA from 1 species
GCGACGGUGAGUAAUGUCUGGGAAACUGCCUGAUGGAGGGGGAUAACUACUGGAAACGGUAGCUAAUACCGCAUGACCUCGCAAGAGCAAAGUGGGGGACCUUCGGGCCUCACGCCAUCGGAUGUGCCCAGAUGGGAUUAGCUAGUAGGUGGGGUAAUGGCUCACCUAGGCGACGAUCCCUAGCUGGUCUGAGAGGAUGACCAGCCACACUGGAACUGAGACACGGUCCAGACUCCUACGGGAGGCAGCAGUGGGGAAUAUUGCACAAUGGGCGCAAGCCUGAUGCAGCCAUGCCGCGUGUGUGAAGAAGGCCUUAGGGUUGUAAAGCACUUUCAGCGAGGAGGAAGGCGUUGUAGUUAAUAGCUGCAGCGAUUGACGUUACUCGCAGAAGAAGCACCGGCUAACUCCGUGCCAGCAGCCGCGGUAAUACGGAGGGUGCAAGCGUUAAUCGGAAUUACUGGGCGUAAAGCGCACGCAGGCGGUUUGUUAAGUCAGAUGUGAAAUCCCCGAGCUUAACUUGGGAACUGCAUUUGAAACUGGCAAGCUAGAGUCUUGUAGAGGGGGGUAGAAUUCCAGGUGUAGCGGUGAAAUGCGUAGAGAUCUGGAGGAAUACCGGUGGCGAAGGCGGCCCCCUGGACAAAGACUGACGCUCAGGUGCGAAAGCGUGGGGAGCAAAC